rnacentral:tRNA from 1 species
GAGGGUAUAGUUUAGUGGUAGAGUGCGUGCUUAGCAUGCAUGAGGUCUUGAAUUCAAUCCUUGGUACCUCCA